GUGUGAAUUCUUUAUACAUUGUGGGUUAUAUCUUACACCUUUCAUUAGAAAAUAAAAAACCACCGCAGGACCAAAAAAAAACACACUAUAAACAGCAGUGAAAUUAAAAAGGAAGGCUUUUGGCUGAAUGGAGGGCAAGGCAAUGAGGAUAGCAUUUUGAAGACAUUUUUAAUGCGUCUCUGAUUUUAUUUACUAACCACCCUCUAUGAUGAAAAGCAAAGUACCUCUUCCAGCAGUAUCUUUACAGGAGAGCUGCAGCUGCAGCCAGACUGCACGAAGCCACGCGGUGCUCAGCCCUGCCCGGGUCUCGGUGAGCGCAGGGGCCGGCUGCGUCAGCUCUGCUGGUGGAGCAGGUAGAGCCGAUUUCCCCAGAGAAAUCAAUAGGAAGUGGCGGUGUGUUUCCAGGCCAACACCAGGAGUGGAAAGCCCGGGGUGAAGCCAGACGGGCAGCGAUGCUGCUUGCAAGCCAAACACCCUGCGAUUGCUUCAUUCACAGCUAGAGCGGCUUCCUGGGCAGAACCUUCACAACUUAAUGCCCCUAAGAAAACAGGCUUGCUAAACGUCUGCUCCACAAGUGUGACUCAGAAGUUCACUCCCCAUCAACGCUUCUCAGCAGCAAUAAGGAGAAGUGAUUCUGUGCCGUGCCAGAUCCUGACAGGGCAGAGAAAUGCGGUUAUGCCAUCCUGCUUUACGCAAAAAUGCAAUGCUUUGAGUUCCAAAUCAUAGUAUCAUUAAGAGCAAGGAGACUUGAACUGGUUGCAAUGCAACUAUUCUGAGUGCAGAAAUUUCUCUGUGCAAGAUGGAGCCAAGAAAUGUAAAUAUCUGUUAUUACUGCUAUUAUGAUUAUCUCCAACUUUCAGAGGAGAGCUAUAGCACACAGAGAAAGCCGUGGUGUCCUAGGUCCCAGCUGGAGCUUGGGGCAUCUUUGCCCCUAAUUCCUAGCCUCAUUUCGCAGGCAGACCUGUGCAGGCCACUAAGGGGUUAAAGGGCAGCUGAGCUCUAACAAAAGCUGCAGAAUACACCCAAAAAACCAGGUCAGGUGCUGCAGAGGAAGGUGCCAGCCUUCCUGCCCCACUGUCUCCAAACUCAGCUUUCGGCAAACACUGAAUUUGCACUCCAAGGCUGUUUGAACCCAAGUGUCAUUAUUACAGACCCUGUUGAACUUCUCCAUCACAAAGAGAAAAGAAUGCUCUGGAACCUGCCUGGUGCCCUGCCCCAGGACAGUGACACACCAAACACCAGCUUCUUUCACGGACCAGCAUCCAGAAACCUCACUGCCUAUCGGCUCGAUCCAGUUUUGUCCAUUCUCUAAGCAUCGCUUGACUAGAACAGUCACAGGGAGCAGGGACAUUUAAAGAGGACAUUUAACAAGCUUAUUGUCGUGCACUCCACACAGAGUUUUCAGCUCCCAACUAUUUCAGUUUCUCAAAGCCAGAGUUCUGGGAAGAUAUCGGAAAGUCAGGUGUGUCCCAUGUUCUUCAUUACCUUUCCUCGUUUGGUCAGACUGGCAAGAACAGGAUAAAGCCCCUUGUGUGAAAAAGGUAGAAUUUGCCUCAAGUUAGUUGGCUACACUGAAGAAGCACAUUUAUGAAUUGGCAUCUCUGUGAAGGAGACCUGCACAUUAGUAAUUAAACUGAUUACUCCCAACAUGCCAUGAUUUAGCUGCUACAUUUAUUUUCCAGACCCAACCCUGGCUUCAGCUGGGACAUAGAGAAACUGCGUGUACCCACUGGACUGUAAGAGUUUUUAUUUAGAAGAAGAAAAAAAAUGAUUCUGGAAAAGAAUUGGGAAUAUCUUGAAAUUUCAAACUUGUAUUUUCAGUAAUUAAAAUUCUCAGUACUACCCUUUUAUCAAGGUAUCUUUCCAAAUCUUACUGAAACUCAUCAUCAUCCACUGAGAUAAGAUGAUCUAUAUUUAACAGCCAAGGAAAUCAAUGCAAUGGCAU